rnacentral:rRNA from 1 species
UGGGAACGCGAAGAACCUUACCUAGACUUGACAUCCCCUGAAUUACCUGUAAUGAGGGAAGUCCCUUCGGGGACGGGGAGACAGGUGGUGCAUGGUUGUCGUCAGCUCGUGUCGUGAGAUGUUGGGUUAAGUCCCGCAACGAGCGCAACCCUUAUCGUUAGUUGCUACCAUUAAGUUGAGCACUCUAAUGAGACUGCCCGGGUUAACCGGGAGGAAGGUGGGGAUGACGUCAAAUCAUCAUGCCCCUUAUGUCUAGGGCCACACACGUGCUACAAUGGUGAGUACAACGAGAUGCGAACCCGCGAGGGGAGCUAAACUCAAAAACUCAUCUCAGUUCGGAUUGCCGGCUGCAACUCGCCUGCAUGAAGCUGGAGUUGCUAGUAAUCGCGAAUCAGAAUGUCGCGGCGAAUACGUUCCCGGGUCUUGUACACACCG